GACCUCAGGUGAUCCACCCGCCUCGGCCUCCCAAAAUGCAGGGAUUAUAGGCGUGAGUCACCACGCCUGGCCUCUAUGAUCACUUUCAUACCUUGAAACAACCAAUAGCAGAUACACUGUCUCUCACAGCCAGAGUUAGGAAAAUGAGUAAUAUCUUGGGUCUCCUCUUUGUAUGAAAGUCACAGAGAAUCACCACUCUCUCACACACUGUAUAAAGUUGUCAAAAGGCACAGCGGAUGUCCUAACAGAACUCAGCACACAGGUGAGGUUGUGACACUCAUAUGUAUGACCUGCAACAGUAAAUAUUUCAUCCUUCCACAUAAACACAGCUCACAAUCGAGGUUCUGAAUGUCACACCCAGAGGCAGUCAAAUGUUGGAAAAUGGAAUCUCAUAUGUGAAUUCGGUCCAUGCAAGAUUCGGCACACCUGUGAGUCUGUGACUCCACUAAGGGGACACAGUUUGCAGGAAGGAUUGAGGUUCUCAUACAUGGAUCCAGACCAUCAUUGAGAUUGCGACUCAUUUACUUAGACUCAACAUACAGGAAGUGUUAGAUCUCAUACCUAGAACUAGAAAAUGUGUGGAACUAUUAAUCUCAUGCUUUGACCUUCAUGCAGGUGUGAUUGUGACAUACACCUCUGCCCAGCACCUCAGUGAUUUGACUCUUCUGCCUGGGUCCAGCGUACAGAUGGGAUUGUGCCGUAUUGCUGGACCCAGCACUUAGGUGAUGUGAGUCUGUUCUCUUGCCUUAGUGCUUUUCACAGAGGGCAUUGAGACAUCACUGGGCCUAGUGCCCAGGUGAUGUGACUUUCCUCUACUUCCUGGGCUUUUCCCAAGAAGCUGCAAUAUAUUGCUGCGACCAGAACCUAGGUAAUGUGACUCUUCUCUCCUGCCUGGUUCCUCUUGCACAUACUGUGACAUGUGGCUGGUCCUGACACCUUGGCGAUGUGAAUCUCCUGUGUGGGCCCUGCCCACAGAGGUAUUACAACAUAUAUUUUCACUCAUCAUCUAGGUGAUAUAAUUCUCCUCUUCUGCCUGGCCCUGCCAAAAAGUGGAAGAUUGUGGCAAAUCACUGAACCCAGCACCUAGGUGAUGUGACUCUCUUGUUUGGCCUGGGCCUCUCAUGUUUUGGGUAUUGUAAAAUAUCACUAGGCCCACCGCCGAUGGGAUUGCUUGCUCCUACCUUGACUCUGCCCAUAGGUACCUUGUGACAUAUAUCUGCAUCCAUGACCUAGAAGAUGUGACAUUUAUUUUUUGCCUGCACCCUGCCCUGCACAGGAAUGAUUGUGACAUAUCCUUGAAACGAGACACCAGGACAGAAUUGUAUCCCUGACUGAGCACCCAGGUGAGGUGACACUCCUGCUUGGCUUCCUUCCUCAGAGAAGACUGUGAGAUCCUUGGCUGAAAUCCAGGAGGAAUUGUGACGUAUCACUUGGCCCAGUACCAAGCAAGUGUGACUCUUCUAUUCAUCAUAAGUUCUGCUUUCAAGGGAGAUUGGGACAUAUUGUGGGGCUCAACACCGAUGUGACAUUACUGUUUUGCCUUGGCCCAGACCUUAAAGACACUGUGACAUAUUGCUCGGCCCACCAACAAGGUGACAAGAGGUUCUGUGUGGACACUGACAACAGAGCAUUGUGACAUAUCUUUGGGAGUGUCAACUAUUUGAUGUGACUUUUUUUUUUUUUUUUUGAGACGGAGUCUCGCUGUGUCACCCAGGCUGGAGUGCGGUGGCACA